AGGAUUCCUUUAGUAGCGGCGAGCGAAUAAGGAAAAGCCCAGCACCGAAUUCCGCGUCAGUGAAUGGACGCUGGAAAAUGUGGUGUUCGGGAGGAUUCGUUAUUCCGAAAUUGUACGGUGCGUCCAAGUCCUUCUUGAAUGGGGCCAUAGCCCAUAGAGGGUGCCAGGCCCGUAGUGACCGGUGUCAAUUGCGGAAGAAUCUCUCCUUAGAGUCGGGUUGCUUGAGAGUGCAGCCCUAAGUGGGUGGUAAACUUCAUCUAAGGCUAAAUAUAACCACGAGACCGAUAGCGAACAAGUACCGUGA
rnacentral:rRNA from 1 species